rnacentral:rRNA from 1 species
AGGACGAACGCUGGCGGCGUGCUUAACACAUGCAAGUCGAGCGGUGAUCCUCCUUCGGGAGGUGAGCAGCGGCGAACGGGUGAGUAACACGUGGGCAACCUGCCCCUCACACUGGGAUAACCUCGGGAAACCGGGGCUAAUACCGGAUAUGACCUCGAGCGGCAUCUCUUGAGGUGGAAAGCUCCGACGGUGAGGGAUGGGCCCGCGGCCUAUCAGCUUGUUGGUGGGGUAAUGGCCUACCAAGGCGACGACGGGUAGCCGGCCUGAGAGGGCGACCGGCCACACUGGGACUGAGACACGGCCCAGACUCCUACGGGAGGCAGCAGUGGGGAAUAUUGCGCAAUGGGCGAAAGCCUGACGCAGCGACGCCGCGUGAGGGAUGAAGGCCUUCGGGUUGUAAACCUCUUUCAGCAGGGACGAAGCGAAAGUGACGGUACUGCAGAGAAGCACCGGCUAACUACGCGCCAGCAGCCGCGGUAA